UACUCCUACGGGAGGCAGCAGUGAGGAAUCUUGCACAAUGGGCGCAAGCCUGAUGCAGCGACGCCGCGUGGAGGAAGAAGCCCCUCGGGGUGUAAACUCCUUUUCUGGGGGAAGAGGAAGGACGGUACCCCAGGAAGAAGCCACGGCUAACUCCGUGCCAGCAGCCGCGGUAAUACGGAGGUGGCGAGCGUUAUCCGGAUUUACUGGGCGUAAAGCGUCUGUAGGCGGUCGGGCAAGUCGGUGGUGAAAUCUUCCGGCUCAACUGGGAGGGGUCCAUCGAAACUGCUCGACUCGAGGGCCGGAGAGGGGCAUGGAAUUCCCGGUGUAGCGGUGAAAUGCGCAGAUAUCGGGAGGAACACCAGAGGCGAAGGCGGUGCCCUGGCCGGUACCUGACGCUGAGAGACGAAAGCGUGGGGAGCGAUCGGGAUUAGAUACCCCGGUAGUCCACGCCGUAAACGAUGGGUGCUCGGUGUUGGUCCCGUACAGGGAUCAGUGCCCAAGCUAACGCGAUAAGCACCCCGCCUGGGGACUACGGCCGCAAGGCUAAAACUCAAAGGAAUUGACGG
rnacentral:rRNA from 1 species